rnacentral:rRNA from 1 species
UACGAAGGGGGCUAGCGUUGUUCGGAAUCACUGGGCGUAAAGGGCGCGUAGGCGGCCGAUCAAGUCGGGGGUGAAAGCCUGUGGCUCAACCACAGAAUUGCCUUCGAUACUGUUUGGCUUGAGACCGGAAGAGGUAAGUGGAACUGCGAGUGUAGAGGUGAAAUUCGUAGAUAUUCGCAAGAACACCAGUGGCGAAGGCGGCUUACUGGUCCGGUUCUGACGCUGAGGCACGAAAGCGUGGGGAGCAAACAGG